UACGGGGGGGGCAAGCGUUGUUCGGAAUUACUGGGCGUAAAGGGCUCGUAGGCGGCCAACUAAGUCGGACGUGAAAUCCCUCGGCUUAACCGGGGAACUGCGUCUGAUACUGGAUGGCUUGAAUCCGGGAGAGGGAUGCGGAAUUCCAGGUGUAGCGGUGAAAUGCGUAGAUAUCUGGAGGAACACCGGUGGCGAAGGCGGCAUCCUGGACCGGCAUUGACGCAGAGGAGCGAAAGCCAGGGGAGCAAACGGG
rnacentral:rRNA from 1 species